UGGGGAAUAUUGCACAAUGGGCGAAAGCCUGAUGCAGCGACGCCGCGUGAGGGAUGACGGCCUUCGGGUUGUAAACCUCUUUCAGUAGGGACGAAGCGCAAGUGACGGUACCUGCAGAAGAAGCACCGGCUAACUACGUGCCAGCAGCCGCGGUAAUACGUAGGGUGCGAGCGUUGUCCGGAAUUACUGGGCGUAAAGAGCUCGUAGGCGGUUUGUCACGUCGUCUGUGAAAUCCUAGGGCUUAACCCUGGACGUGCAGGCGAUACGGGCUGACUUGAGUACUACAGGAGAGACUGGAAUUUCUGGUGUAGCGGUGGAAUGCACAGAUAUCAGGAAGAACGCCGAUGGCGAAGGCAGGUCUCUGGGUAGUAACUGACGCUGAGGAGCGAAAGCAUGGGUAGCGAACAGG
rnacentral:rRNA from 1 species